GUUGGCGACAGUUGGUCUACUAUGGGAGUAGGAUGCGUAUCAAAAUAGAAUCUAUUGAUCUUGAUAGAGAGAAGUAGUCCUAUAGGAUUUGAGAGGCUAAGUCCGAGAGUCUGUGGUCACAGUAGUGUGAUUGAUGGAAAAAUUUUUUUAUAAGGAUCAUAAUUGGACUUGAGCUGAUCAAAUCUAUUAUAUGACUGAUGAUGAGGUUUGACAAUUUAUCCAUGAUCUACCAUUU
rnacentral:lncRNA from 1 species